rnacentral:lncRNA from 7 species
AUACAUAUUUUAUCCUUCCAGCCCUUAUUAACUGCAUCUGGUAUUUUAUAGGUAUGGAGAGAUGCAGCUUUAGAAGAUACUCUUCAGAAAAGAAAACACCCAUAUUUGUAGGAAGUUUGCACUAGUCACAAAGUGAAGGAGCUGAACAGAAAUGGCAACAGUAACCUCCCAAGGCACUCCUGACUGAAGUCUACAUUUUUGAGAAGAUACCAUUGAGAGAACAUAAUAUUAUCCCCUACUGGUGCCAUGAAUAAUGAUAAGGAUUUUUACCUCUGAUCUGUGUUGCGGACAGAUGUUUGAAGAGCUAUUUCAGAUACCGUCUAAGUUGUUGAAUUGUUCUGCUAUGGAUAGUGUGCGUCUUAGAACGACUUGACUGCAGACUUGGGCUUGAGCUGCCGAGCAUGAAACAUUUAACAUGACCUUGCCUUAUUGUCUUUGUACCCGUUGUUACUAUUUGAAAGAGAAGUGAAAAGGGAAGUUGUUAUUGAGGAUGCUGAUGCAAAUCUUACAUUUCCAAAAAUGUGGUUCUGUAGGCAAGUCUUGUCACUUGACUUUCACUAACUGAAGUAAGCUCUGGCUAAAUUAUGAAACUUAGUAUUUAAUAAACUUGGUCAUCUUUCUUGAUUUUUGGACUUCAUUUACAAGGUGAAUGAAUUGGGGCUCCCAUUAAUUACUUAUACCUCAGAAUUUGUGGUGGAAAUUCGAUGUUUUCUUACUUUUUUUUCUACUUACAGCAUUACAGAAAUUUACUUAAUAUCAUACUGAGUUAUAAGUGGGGAUCCUUGAUGUAAAUCAUCUGUCCAGAACCACUGUUUCUGAAAUUUUCCUUCACUAAACUGAAUCCUCCAGGCUUCCUAGCACAUCUCCCUAAUCCCUUUGGUCUGACACAGUCUGCAGUAAUGAUCACCAAGGCCAGAAGUACUGCCCUUGGGAAAAGUGCUACAUCCUGUACCAGAGAGAACCCUAAAUAAAUCUCUGAAUUGUCU